GAUCAAAAUAGAAAAGGCACACAUUAUUACAUCAAAUUGGAGAAAACUUCUGUUGGAUUCGAAAUCAAAAGGGCGUCAUGCGGAAGCUUAAAGAUUACAAAUCAAGACAGUAAUAAUUCAGAGUACAAAUAAAAAUAUACCAAAAAGACAUAUUAUUGCUAUUAUUUGGUCAAACGACUUAAUAUGAAAAAUUAAUAUUGAAAAAUCUAAAAUCUAUUAGGAGAAAUCUCCCCUAAACAAAGACUACAUUAUGGAAGUUAUUUGUGUUAUGGUAUGAAAAAGGGUCUUUAUAAAGUUCUAAAACCUUUCCUUCAAGAAAAGGUUUGCUAAAUAAGGAAAAGUUUUAUAUUUUCCUAUCAGGAAAAAUAAAAGUAAUUAUGGCAUUAUUUUUAUUUUCCUUCUAAGAAAAAUAAAACUUAAGUUUGGUAAGAAAAUAAGAGCAAAAACCCUAACAAAUCUCUCCUUUUGGCUUGAUUUUCUUGACAUAAUUUGAUCCACCUUCUUCGCGUGCAAAUUUUUUGUUCUUCACAUAAUCUUCAUCUCUGUUGCUUGCCAUAGUUAAAAAUAAGAUUUAAAAUAUUAUGGCUAAAAGUGGGUUAAAAAUAAAUAUUUUAUUUUUAUUUUUAAAGAUGCAGCAACAUGAUUGUUAAAAUAUGCUUAAAACUUCUUCUCCACAUGUAGCUAAAUAAAAUCGUCAUUAUCGCCAAACUGGUUACAGCUUGAUUUUGAAACCACUUUGAACCUGUUUAAUCUCAUCUCACCAUACCAUUGGACCUUUGAAAUAAGCUCUGAUACCGCUUGUUGGAUUCGAAAUCGAAAGGGCAUCAUGCGGAAGCUUAAAGAUUGCAAACCAAGAUAGUAAUAAUUCAGACGACAAAUAAAAAUAUACUAAAAAGACAUAUUAUUUCUAUUAUUUGGUCAAACGACCUAAUAUGAAAAAAUAAUAUUGAAAAACAUAAAAUCUAUUGGGAGAAAUCUCCCCUUAAACAAAGACUCUUUAAAGACUACAUUGUGGAUG
rnacentral:lncRNA from 1 species